rnacentral:rRNA from 1 species
GAUGAACGCUGGCGGCGUGCCUAAUACAUGCAAGUCGAGCGAACAGACGAGGAGCUUGCUCCUUUGACGUUAGCGGCGGACGGGUGAGUAACACGUAGGUAACCUACCUAUAAGACUGGGAUAACUUCGGGAAACCGGAGCUAAUACCGGAUAAUAUUUCGAACCGCAUGGUUCGAUAGUGAAAGAUGGCUUUGCUAUCACUUAUAGAUGGACCUGCGCCGUAUUAGCUAGUUGGUAAGGUAACGGCUUACCAAGGCAACGAUACGUAGCCGACCUGAGAGGGUGACAGGCCACACUAGAACUGAGACACGGUCCAGCCUCCUACGGGAGGCAGCAGUAGGGAAUCUUCCGCAAUGGGCGAAAGCCUGACGGAGCAGCGCCGCGUGAGUGAUGAAGGUCUUCGGAUCGUAAAACUCUGUUAUUAGUGAAGAACAAACGUGUAAGUAACUGUGCACGUCUUGACGGUACCUAAUCAGAAAGCCACGGCUAACUACGUG